rnacentral:rRNA from 1 species
CAUUUCUUUAAGACCGUAAGAUUCCUGCGUGAUGAUCAGGUAGAUAGGUCAGGAGUGGAAGUACAGUGAUGUAUGGAGCGGACUGAUACUAAUCGAUCGAGGACUUAACCAAU